UACAGAGGGUGCAAGCGUUGUCCGGAAUCAUUGGGCGUAAAGCGCGCGUAGGCGGCCCUGUAAGUCCGUUGUGAAAGUCAAAGGCUCAACCUUUGAAAGCCGAUGGAUACUGCAGGGCUAGAGUCCGGAAGAGGCGAGUGGAAUUCCUGGUGUAGCGGUGGAAUGCGCAGAUAUCAGGAGGAACACCAAUAGCGAAGGCAGCUCGCUGGGACGGUACUGACGCUAAGGCGCGAAAGCGUGGGGAGCGAACAGG
rnacentral:rRNA from 1 species